rnacentral:rRNA from 1 species
CUUGAGGAUGGGCCUGCGGCGCAUUAGCUAGUUGGUGAGGUAACGGCUCACCAAGGCGACGAUGCGUAGCCGACCUGAGAGGGUGAUCGGCCACACUGGGACUGAGACACGGCCCAGACUCCUACGGGAGGCAGCAGUAGGGAAUCUUCCGCAAUGGGCGAAAGCCUGACGGAGCAAUGCCGCGUGAGUGAUGAAGGUUUUCGGAUCGUAAAGCUCUGUUGCCAGGGAAGAACGUCCUUGAGAGUAACUGCUCAAGG